UACGAAGGGGGCUAGCGUUGCUCGGAAUCACUGGGCGUAAAGCGCACGUAGGCGGAUUGCUAAGUCAGGGGUGAAAUCCUGGAGCUCAACUCCAGAACUGCCUUUGAUACUGAGGAUCUUGAGUACGGGAGAGGUGAGUGGAACUGCGAGUGUAGAGGUGAAAUUCGUAGAUAUUCGCAAGAACACCAGUGGCGAAGGCGGCUCACUGGCCCGUUACUGACGCUGAGGCACGAAAGCGUGGGGAGCAAACAGG
rnacentral:rRNA from 1 species